ACUGCUCAGUAACACGUGGACAACCUACCCUAUGGAGGGGGAUAACCCCGGGAAACUGGGGAUAAUACCCCAUAGACUAUGAAUGCUGGAAUGCUUUGUAGUUGAAAGGUCCGCCGCCAUAGGAUGGGUCUGCGGCCGAUUAGGUUGUUGUUGGGGUAACGGCCCAACAAGCCUGUAAUCGGUACGGGUUGUGGGAGCAAGAGCCCGGAGAUGGAUUCUGAGACAUGAAUCCAGGCCCUACGGGGCGCAGCAGGCGCGAAAACUUUACAAUGCGGGAAACCGUGAUAAGGGGACACCGAGUGCCAGCAUCAUAUGCUGGCUGUCCGGAUGUGUAAAAUACAUCCGUUAGCAAGGGCCGGGCAAGACCGGUGCCAGCCGCCGCGGUAACACCGGCGGCCCGAGUGGUGAUCGUGAUUAUUGGGUCUAAAGGGUCUGUAGCCGGCCGGAUAAGUCUCUUGGGAAAUCUGGCAGCUUAACUGUCAGGCUUUCAGGAGAUACUGUCUGGCUCGAGGCCGGGAGAGGUGAGAGGUACUUCAGGGGUAGGGGUGAAAUCCUAUAAUCCUGGGAGGACCACCUGUGGCGAAGGCGCCUAACUGGAACACGCCUGACGGUCAGGGACGAAAGCUGGGGCAGCGAACCGGAUUAGAUACCCGGGUAGUCCCAGCUGUAAACGAUGCUAGCUAGGUGUUGGGUCGGCCACGCGCCGCCCCAGUGCCGCAGGGAAGCCGUUAAGCUAGCCGCCUGGGGAGUACGGCCGCAAGGCUGAAACUUAAAGGAAUUGGCGGGGGAGCAG
rnacentral:rRNA from 1 species